rnacentral:sRNA from 1 species
UGCUGAAAUAUAAUGGACAUGUAAAUCCAGUCCGCCAGCAGUUACAAUUAACCCUUCGGCUGAAAUAGCUUCGGUGCUAGAACCUACAACAAAAUCAAUGUUAUCCAUAUUAUCUGGAUUACCGCCCUUACCAAUGGCAACAAUUUUACCAUCUCUAAUACCAAUAUCCGCUUUAAUAAUACCAGUAUAGUCAAUAAUGGUAGCACCGCUAAUGAUAGUAUCAACA